CCCUAGUAACGGCGAGUGAAGCGGCAACAGCUCAAAUUUGAAAUCUGGCUUCGGCCCGAGUUGUAAUUUGCAGAGGAUGUUUCUGGCGCGGUGCCUUCCGAGUUCCCUGGAACGGGACGCCACAGAGGGUGAGAGCCCCGUAUGGUUGGACACCAAGCCUGUGUGAAACUCCUUCGACGAGUCGAGUAGUUUGGGAAUGCUGCUCAAAAUGGGAGGUAAAUCUCUUCUAAAGCUAAAUACCGGCCAGAGACCGAUAGCGCACAAGUAGAGUGAUCGAAAGAUGAAAAGCACCUUGAAAAGGGGGUUAAACAGUACGUGAAAUUGUUGAAAGGGAAGCGCUUGUGACCAGACUUGCGCCGGGCGGUUCAUCCGGGGUUCUCCCCGGUGCACUCCGCCCGGCUCAGGCCAGCAUCGGUUCUCGUUGGGGGAUAAGAACGGCAGGAACGUGGCCCUCCUUCGGGUGGGUGUUAUAGCCUGCCGUACGAUACCCUGACGGGGACCGAGGUUCGCGCUCCGCAAGGAUGCUGGCGUAAUGGUCAUCAGCGACCCGUCUUGAAACACGGACCAAGGAGUCGUCCAUUAGAGCGAGCGUUUGGGUGUCAAACCCGCACGCGUAAUGAAAGUGAAAUUAGGUGAGAGCUUCGGCGCAUCAUCGACCGAUCCUGAUGUUCUCGGAUGGAUUUGAGUAAGAGUUUUAACGGACGGACCCGAAAGACAGUGAACUAUGCUUGUAUAGGGUGAAGCCAGAGGAAACUCUGGUGGAGGCUCGCAGCGGUUCUGACGUGCAAAUCGAUCGUCAAAUAUGAGCAUGGGGGCGAAAGACUAAUCGAACUGUCUAGUAGCUGGUUACCGCCGAAGUUUCCCUCAGGAUAGCAGUGUUGACCUUCAGUUUUAUGAGGUAAAGCGAAUGAUUAGGGACUCGGGGGCGCUUUUUAGCCUUCAUCCAUUCUCAAACUUUAAAUAUGUAAGAAGCCCUUGUUACUUAGUUGAACGUGGGCAUUCGAAUGUAUCAACACUAGUGGGCCAUUUUUGGUAAGCAGAACUGGCGAUGCGGGAUGAACCGAACGCGGGGUUAAGGCGCCAGAGUGUACGCUCAUCAGACACCACAAAAGGCGUUAGUACAUCUUGACAGCAGGACGGUGGCCAUGGAAGUCGGAAUCCGCUAAGGACUGUGUAACAACUCACCUGCCGAAUGUACUAGCCCUGAAAAUGGAUGGCGCUCAAGCGUACCGCCCAUACCCCGCCCUCAGGGUAGAAACGAUGCCCUGAGGAGUAGGCGGCCGUGGAGGUCAGUGACGAAGCCUA
rnacentral:rRNA from 1 species